CCCACCCUACACCUCUUUCCUUUUUCCUCCACCACCUCCCUCCCUCUUCAAUCUCUCUCCACUCCCUCUCCAUAGUGGGUGUUCGAAUCUAAUUCUCAGCCCAUCUGGCAGGCGUAAUGAAGGCGGGUCGGGCUUGAGAUGUCCUGCUGCCUUGGCUCGACGGAGCAGGAGGUUAGCUGACAGAUUGGGCCAGGAUGAGUGGAGGGGAGUCGCGGAACCUGCUGACCUUUCAGCCUUUGCCCUGCAGUUCCCUGUAGCUCCUCUGACCCAGCACCCUGAGCCCUCCUUCAAAACCAUCGUACUGUAAAGCCCGGAGCACUUGCAGAUAAGCAGCCCCCAGAAAUCAAGCGGACCCUGCAGCCGAGCAGAUUGAGUGUCAGAGCUCAGUACCCAGGAGGUGCCUGGAGGCUACAAACACUGCAGAUAGCACCAUCAGAUAGCCGGCGAGGGGGAGCCAGACAACAUGAAACUUCCUGGCCUCGUUACUAGACUUUGCUUUGCUUGCACAAUCUCCCCCCCACCCACUCCCUCCUCCCACACCACUACCUCCGAGCCAUGCUGCACCUCUCUCGCUCCGAAUCCCUCCCCUUCGCCUUUCAGAUAAAGAGAAGGCCCCGUUCCCUUCCAACUUAAACUGACAGCUCGAGCCAAAGGGCUCUGCCAGCUUUUUUUUUUGGAGGUCUUGUUUGUUUUCAUCCUUCUGUGAGUGUGCUGAUGCCGGGGAGCAGGAAUGUGACAUGUUCUAUUAAAACAACAUAAAAAAAGAAAGAAAGAAACAAAAAAAAACUCCCUCCCCCCCGAUUCCACAGAGAUCAAUGUUUUUUGAAGUUUGCUUUGUUCGGCGCUUUAACAGUAGCCCUUUGAGGCAGAUUAAGGAUGACAAACCAUUUAUAGCUGCUUUGUUUGUUUGGGUGAUUGCUUCCGAGCGACAAUAACCCGCACCAUAUGCCGCUCAUUUGCAAAUAAGGAGCAUGUCUUAAAUAAAGUACCUCUUAUGAGUUCCCUUUUUAGCAAAGGGCA